rnacentral:rRNA from 1 species
CGCCUGGGGAGUACGGCCGCAAGGUUAAAACUCAAAUGAAUUGACGGGGGCCCGCACAAGCGGUGGAGCAUGUGGUUUAAUUCGACGCAACGCGAAGAACCUUACCUGGCCUUGACAUCCAGAGAACUUUCCAGAGAUGGAUUGGUGCCUUCGGGAACUCUGAGACAGGUGCUGCAUGGCCGUCGUCAGCUCGUGUCGUGAGAUGUUGGGUUAAGUCCCGUAACGAGCGCAACCCCUAUCCCUGGCUGCUAGCAGGUAAUGCUGAGAACUCCAGGGAGACUGCCGGUGACAAACCGGAGGAAGGUGGGGAUGACGUCAGGUCAUCAUGGCCCUUACGGCCAGGGCUACACACGUGCUACAAUGGCGCGUACAGAGGGCUGCCAACUCGCGAGAGUGAGCCAAUCCCUUAAAACGCGUCGUAGUCCGGAUCGGAGUCUGCAACUCGACUCCGUGAAGUCGGAAUCGCUAGUAAUCGCGAAUCAGAAUGUCGCGGUGAAUACGUUCCCGGGCCUUGUACACACCGCCCGUCACACCAUGGGAGUGGAUUGCACCAGAAGUAGUUAGUCUAACCUUCGGGAGGACGAUUGCCACGGUGUGGUUCAUGACUGGGGUGAAGUCGUAACAAGGUAACCGUA